rnacentral:lncRNA from 1 species
GGAAAGUUCAUGGCUGGACUGACAGUCCCCAGGGAGCAGGCUGGUAGUAAGCAAGCAAGCUGCUCAAGGAGCUGGUCAGAGAAGAGGGAACAGAACUGGGAAGUGAUGGGCUGGCUGGAGGGAAGACCCAAACAUCUGACUUGGAGGUCUAGUUCCUUUAAGGGCUCUUGGCACUGAUAUUAUCCGUAGGUAUUUUUAACUCACAUCAGAAGAAGAGAUAUGUGCUUAAGAAAUAUAAAAGCACAACGAAUGGUAGAGAGUUGUGAGACAUCCUUGUCUUUUUAUAUAUGUAGACAAUUUUUUUAAACCACAAGUGAUGACAGUGGUAAUGGUAAAACUAAGGCAAAUUUUUAUCAAUUCUGUGCUUCUUAAGGUAUUACUGUAUUAUUGAUUGCAUCCGGGCAAAGUGCUUCAGAAGCAUCAUUGCACUUAGUUCUCAGAGCAGUUAUAGAGGGUCAUGCCUGCUUCACAGAUGAGCACACCAAAGCACAAUGCAUGUAAUGGGACUUGUCCAAAGAUGCGAUUUAGUUUUAAUGGCAUCCUUGGCUUCCGAAGUAAGAAAUACCCACAAUGACUAAGAAACUGUGGUUGCUCAGACUAAGAUGUGAGAAGUCAGAGCAAUUGUGUAUGGAUUGCCUGUGACAUCCAUGGGAUCCACCUCUGUCCUCUAAACAGGCUGGCAACCUGCUGUGUAUUUAUCCCUGUUUUGCUGGCAAGAAACUUGCUCAAAGAAGCAAGUAAAUGGUGGGCCCAUUGGAAGAUCUUUGCUACUCUCAGGGCUAGUAUGGUCAGAAUUGCCUUAGAUGGUAGAUGUCCUGAGGGCCUUACAGUCAAAUUCUCUAAGCACAGCUAAGAUAUCUUAUCGAAAUCCAAAAUUGUUUUGGUUCAACCUACACUGGAGCUAUUGUGGCUGCAGGAAUUUUCUCUGACAAUGCCAGCCCCUUAAAGACCUUGAUAUACUGUAGCUCAUUUUCCUUUUGGGAGGGAAGAAGGGAAAUUCUACCACAGAGACUAAGCGUUUGGCCCAAAUCCACACAGCAGACAGGAGGAUAAUGAGGGAGCCGGGAAUAAAUUAUACCAGACAGGUUUUCCAAUUCUCAGCUCGAUGCUUUUUCUAUGAGACCAUCCAGCCUCAAGUAACUCAUUCGUUAGCUGCCUAUCCUUUGCAAAUAUGCCCAAUUCCUUGCCAUUCUCUUUCAGGGCCUUUGCUUUCUUUCAUAUUUCAGACAGGGGCUCCUUUGCUGAACAUUCUGAGUGACAUGGAAGGCGGCAUCCAUGUCUGUUCACCCCCAGGCUUGGUUAGGGACCUGUCUUUCUCUUUCCUGUAAAAUGAUAUGCACAUUCUUUGCUAGUGCAAAGGAGUUGUGGAAAGUCAUUUUCUCCAACCUGGUGUAUGGGUAAAUUAAUCUAGCAUUACAAACCCCAUAACAGCGUUAGGUGAGCUGUGUGUAAUAGGUUUAGGCAGUGAGUCUCCGGAGCUUAGCCUGUUCAGCAUAAAAAAGCCAUAGAAAUCCCUCUCUCCGUGAAAUCCUCCUGCACACAGUUCAGGAAAUGUACAAGACAGCAAGGAUACAGUCAACCUAUUGGAAUUCUUUUUGAAAAGAAGAGGGAGGAAUAGGAGGAGAAGCCGAUUGCAGAAGCAAACUGUUGAUGGCCAACUUCUAGCCUUGUUAGGAAGGUUAUCCUGCAGUCAGGACUCUGUAGUCAUUAGUGGAGGAAUUCCGUCGAUGGGGGUGGGGGGGGUCAGGUCAUUUAAUAACAUGUCAAUAUUAAGUUACAUCAUAAAUAAUCAGAACUUCCUG